GACGAACGCUGGCGGCGUGCUUAACACAUGCAAGUCGAGCGGAAAGGCCCUUCGGGGUACUCGAGCGGCGAACGGGUGAGUAACACGUGAGUAACCUGCCCCAGACUUUGGGAUAACCCUCGGAAACGGGGGCUAAUACCGGAUACGACACAGCUUCGCAUGGGGUCUGUGUGGAAAGUUUUUCGGUUUGGGAUGGGCUCGCGGGCUAUCAGCUCGUUGGUGGGGGGAUGGCCUACCAAGGCGACGACGGGUAGCCGGCCUGAGAGGGCGACCGGCCACCCGGGGACUGAGAGACGGCGCAGACUCCUACGGGAGGCAGCAGUGGGGAAUAUUGCACAAUGGGCGGAAGCCUGAUGCAGCGACGCCGGGUGAGGGAUGACGGCCUUCGGGUUGUAAACCUCUUUCAGCAGGGACGAAGCGUAAGUGACGGUACCUGCAGAAGAAGCGCCGGCCAACUACGUG
rnacentral:rRNA from 1 species